UUCCCAGCUCGGUUGCACAUCCCUGGAGCGCUCUGAUAGCACCUGCAGCCGCGCCCAGGACAGCUCGGGGACUCGGAUCCGGGAACUGAAAUAAGUUCUAGGUUUUCGAUCUGUUGUACUGAAAGUAAAAUGCCUGCAAGAGCGGGAGUGAGCAGAGACCGACAGGUUGCACUUCUGAUCAAUAAUGUUACCAAAAAAAGUAGUCAGACUGGAAGAGGUACAGAUAAGGGACUGCUGUGGUAAUGCAAAAGAAAAAUAGAGUGAACUUCAUUUUAAGAGCCAGUUUGGAGAUCCUGGGGUUAUCAGAAAUAAUCAAAUUCUGGAACUGGAAGCCACGGCAUAGGGACUGCCUCUGUGUGCACCGGCGUCCUCAACCGUUCCUCUUGUGCCAUU